rnacentral:rRNA from 1 species
GAUGAACGCUGGCGGCGUGCCUAAUACAUGCAAGUCGAGCGAACAGACGAGGAGCUUGCUCCUUUGACGUUAGCGGCGGACGGGUGAGUAAUACGUGGGUAACCUACCUAUAAGACUGGGAUAACUUCGGGAAACCGGAGCUAAUACCGGAUAAUAUUUCGAACCGCAUGGUUCGAUAGUGAAAGAUGGCUCUGCUAUCACUUAUAGAUGGACCUGCGCCGUAUUAGCUAGUUGGUAAGGUAACGGCUUACCAAGGCAACGAUACGUAGCCGACCUGAGAGGGUGAUCGGCCACACUGGAACUGAGACACGGUCCAGACUCCUACGGGAGGCAGCAGUAGGGAAUCUUCCGCAAUGGGCGAAAGCCUGACGGAGCAACGCCGCGUGAGUGAUGAAGGUCUUCGGAUCGUAAAACUCUGUUAUUAGGGAAGAACAAACGUGUAAGUAACUGUGCACGUCUUGACGGUACCUAAUCAGAAAGCCACGGCUAACUACGUG